rnacentral:rRNA from 1 species
UACGUAGGGUGCGAGCGUUGUCCGGAAUUAUUGGGCGUAAAGGGCGCGUAGGUGGCCUUCUAAGUUGAACGUGAAAUCCCUGGGCUCAACCCAGGAACUGCGUCCAAGACUGGGAGGCUUGAAUCCGGGAGAGGGAUGCGGAAUUCCAGGUGUAGCGGUGAAAUGCGUAGAUAUCAGGAGGAACACCGGUGGCGAAGGCGGGUCUCUGGGCAACAACUGACGCUGAGGAGCGAAAGCGUGGGGAGCGAACAGG